CAGACCAUUUGCAGAGCGCUUGCUCCCUUUCUUUAAGAACUUCCUCAACCAGAACAGCAGACGCGCUGGCACAUCGCAGUGCAGUGUGCGCUGGCCUCCCGGAAACCGUCUGGAGGGUCGCCAGGCAGCCAGAGCUGGUCAGCAGUUUUGGUGAUCAUGAAGAGACCCAGAGCAGACUUCUCUCCUUUGCCUGACCUCUACCAGGAUCUGGAGGCUUGGUACCAGCAAGGGCCCCUUGUGCCAGUCCACAUCCUCAGUGAGUCAAGAUGGCUGGAGCACAGGCUCCGGACGCUCACGGGCGCAGGCUCAGUGGUCAUGGCUCAUGGGCCCAGCCGCUCCGCGGCAUGUGGGAUCUUCCCAGACUGGGGCACGAACCCGUGUCCCCUGCAUUGGCAGGCGGACUCUCAACCACUGCGCCACCAGGGAAGCCCAUGACUAAGUUUUAAAAUGAAGGGUUCCCAGCAACCUUACCAGAUGAAUAAGAAAGGUCACUUCCUGACAGGUGCAGGGAUCUCAAGAUAUUCUGCAGAGCUUGAGAAGACAGGACUUCACUCAAAUCUAUAAGUAUUACAG